AUUGAACGCUGGCGGCGUGCUUAACACAUGCAAGUCGAUCGGUAACAGGUGUAGCAAUACAUGCUGACGAGAGGCGGACGGGUGAGUAAUGCUUGGGAAUCUGCCUAUUAGUGGGGGACAACCCGGGGAAACUCGGGCUAAUACCGCAUACGCUCUACGGAGGAAAGCCGGGGACCGCAAGGCCUGGCGCUAAUAGAUGAGCCCAAGUCGGAUUAGCUAGUUGGUAGGGAACGGCCUACCAAGGCGACAAUCCGUAGCUGGUCUGAGAGGACGACCAGCCACACCGGAACUGAGACACGGUCCGGACUCCUACGGGAGGCAGCAGUGGGGGAAUAUUGGACAAGUGGGGGCAACCCUGAUCCAGCGACGCCGCGUGGGUGAAGAAGGCCUGCGGGUUGUAAAGCCCUUUCGGUAGGGGAAGAAAAGUCUCGACCUAAUACGUCGGGACCUUGACGUAACCCACUAAAGAAGCACCGGCUAACUCUGUGCCAGCAG
rnacentral:rRNA from 1 species